UACGGGGGGGGCAAGCGUUGUUCGGAAUUACUGGGCGUAAAGGGCUCGUAGGCGGUUCGGUAAGUCCGCUGUGAAAGUCGGGGGCUCAACCCUCGAAUGCCGGUGGAUACUGUCGGGCUAGAGUGCGGAAGAGGAGAGUGGAAUUCCUGGUGUAGCGGUGAAAUGCGCAGAUAUCAGGAAGAACACCCGUGGCGAAAGCGGCUCUCUGGAACGGUACUGACGCUGAGGAGCGAAAGCGUGGGGAGCGAACAGG
rnacentral:rRNA from 1 species